UUGGCGUUAUCACCGGUGUUUCUGAUGCCAUGAAGUUUCACAGUUCAAGCAGGAGUGAGCCGUCGAUUAAACGUUGUAUCACCAUCAAGGACCUGAGUGGGUACCAAAUAAGUGUUGCUCCAUGGGGCAAACGGGAGACAACCUUUGACGGAGAUGGUGUCAUUGAACUGGGGAAGACUGAAACGCUAUGCAAUAUGGCGUGGCUUUGCUUGCGGCCAAUAGGUCGAAGGGGUGUCAGUGGAAACGCGACGUGCCGUUGGUACAUCAACGAUGACAUCUCUGAGAUGAUAGACUUAUAGACAAGGCUUUAGGACAAACAUAUUCCUGUUCAGAAAAUUCUGCUACAGGGGCAGAAUGCGGCUGAAAUAAGUGCACAUGUUGAUUUGGAUACUAA